CAGAGGUUGAACGGAGUACUUUAGAGGUAAUGAAUUCCCUGUCACUGGAGGAGUAUAAGCACUCAGAUGACCAUUCAGGGGACACUCUGCACUUCUGUUGGAUGAAAUAGGAGACACAGAACGACCAGCCAAAUGGAAAAUGAACUGAUCCACCCUCUCCGCGGCCCCCCACCCCUCCUGCUCCCACUUUGAAGCUCCCACAGCUGUGAGCGAGAGCUGUGCCCCCAGCCUACUCGGUGCCUCCAUUACAGACCUCAGGGAGAAGCCAGCUGCCAUGUCACGAGGACGCUUUGGUGGCCCUGGAGAGACCAGGUGACAAGAAACCGAAUCCCUCUGCUGACAACCAGGGGAGUGAGCUGUCUUGAAAGCAGAUCAUCCGGCCGGCCCUUGGCAAGCCUUCAGAUGCCUGUAGCGCCAACAGCCAUCCAUACUGCAGCCUCGUGAGAGAUCCUGAGUCAGGACCACCUGGCCAGCUGCUCCCUCAAAACCACAUCAGAGAGGAAAUGUUUCAAGGGGCUACAUUUUUUGGGGAAAUUUGUUAGGCAGCAAUAGGUAACUAAUGCACAUUCAUUCUGUCAACUUCCCUGGGAAGGGGCCUGGACACUGGUGUGUUUAAAACCUCCUGGGGUACGCCAGUGUGCAUCCAGAGUUGAGAACCCCUGCCCUAAGGCCUAUGUGUGCUUGUGAGAGUGUCUGUGCUCGUGCACCUGGGUGUGUGCCCAUGCCAUGUGCAUGUGUACGGUGGCAGGGGAACACUAUGUCACACAUAUUGGUCAGGAUGCGGAAGCAGCAGUCCUAGCACCCCUUUGAGUGUGCCCCCCUCUCCAAGUGAGUCAGGCUGUGUGCCCUAGGUACCUGCGUCAGAGCCUGGCUCGGGAAGGUCUGGGGUGUGGAAAGAGCUGUAGAGAUCUUGUGGCCAGACCCAUAGGGGUCAUUCACCACGUCCUCUCCGUGAACUUUUCUGAGUUUCUGCAUUUGUGGGCUGGGAACAGACGGAUCACCAUUCUGCUCAGUCCUUUGAGGAGGCAUUAGUUGUGUUGGCUCUAUGCCUCCUGGCCUUGUUUUGGCAAUAUUUUGGUAGCACCAGGACUUAUGCUGUGAUGGCUGUGGAUGUGGUGAUAUCUACCCUGCAGCGAGGCAGGCAUAUAGUCAAUCCAAUGUGAGGUCCCUCUGCAGGAUGGACUGGAAGUGGAGGGGCUGCCCGUGGGACAUUCCUAAGAGGACAAUUUUAGUCAUGUCUGGUUUAAGCCUUUGGGAUUUGAGACCAACAGUCUUGCCCUCCUAAAUGCCAGGUGGCACAAAUUGGUAGGAUGAGGAGUUGGUCUUCACAUGCCAGAGAGUGAAGAUCUUGCUUCUGAAGCAGAAAGCAGAAGAGUUGAGUUCCUUUUAGCUGAGGUAGGUGGGUGGUUCCAGCCGAGUCUAGACCUCCCCUGGCUUUGUGUCCUUGGUUGAG